rnacentral:rRNA from 1 species
AUGAGAAUGGUUGAACCAAAAACCAAGAGAAUGAUUACAAACAUCUUCAAGUGCAAUCUGGGGCACAUAGGAAGGUUGCCAAAGUGGUCGGAGGAACAUAAGCCAGGGUUGGAAAGAAAGCUCCAUUGGAAUCUUUUCAUCUCGAAAGGAGAUGGAAUCUUGCCCGUCAGUUGGUUACUAGAGAAAUUGAGUUGGAAGAUGGAGGUUAAUUGUGACUGUGUAACGUUUUCUGGUAAUGGGCCAGAUAGAAGAUUUUCGUUCAAUAAAAGCCAUGACAGAUUCUUGAGCUUACAGAAAUCAUCUGGUAUGCGACCAGAUAGAGAGUUAUUGUGUAGAUUGAGGACCUCCAUAUUCUGCAUUCUCCAAAUCCCAUUGGGUAUUGUCCCAUUCAUUGUGUUAGAAGACAAGUCUAAGAUUCUAAGUUUGGACAGAUUCUUGAGCUUACGGGGAUCAUCUGGUAUGCGACCAGAUAGAGAGUUACUGUGCAGAUCGAGGGUUUCCAUAUUCUGCAUUCUCCAAAUCCCACUAGGUAUUGUCCCACUGAGUGUGUUUCAAGACAAAUCUAAGAUUCUAAGUCGGUUCAGCUUGGAUAUAGUGUCUGGAAUUUCACCAACUAUACUCAUAUUACUCAUUGACAAUACUUCUAGGUUUGUCAAAUUUCCGAACUGUGGAUCGAUUCUGUGUGAAGCAAAGGGAUUGGAGGAUAGUUUCAGAACUUGUAGGGACGAAAGCUUGCAGAUUGAACUUGGAAUACUACCGGAUAAGCUAUUCGAUUCAAGGUUAAGGUAG